CACUGUUACGGCGAGUGAGCGGCAAAAGCUCAAUUUGAAAUCUGGCACCUUCGGUGUUCGAGUUGUAAUUUGAAGAGGUCUCCUUGAGGCCCCUCCAUGUCUGUGUUUCGUGGCACGACGUCAUAUAGGGGUGAACCUCCCGUGAUUUUGGUACUACUCUCUGUGGGAGUCUUUCCAAA
rnacentral:rRNA from 1 species